rnacentral:rRNA from 1 species
AUUGAACGCUGGCGGCAUGCCUAACACAUGCAAGUCGAGCGCAGCGGCGGACGGGUGAGUAAUGCCUAGGAAUCUGCCCGGUAGUGGGCGACACCGUCCGGAAACGGGCGCUAAUACCGCAUACUAUCAGAUGACCCUAGGUCGGAUUAGCUAGUUGGUGAGGUAAAGGCUUACCAAGGCGACGAUGCGUAGCUGGUCUGAGAGGAUGAUCAGUCACACUGGAACUGAGACACGGUCCAGACUCCUACGGGAGGCAGCAGUAGGGAAUAUUGGGCAAUGGGCGAAAGCCUGAUCCAGCAAUGCCGCGUGUGUGAAGAAGGUCUUCGGAUUGUAAAGCUCUGUAGGUAGAGAAGCGUUACCAACAGAAUAAGCACCGGCUAACUACGUGCCAGCAGCCGCGGUAAUUC